rnacentral:rRNA from 1 species
UACGAAGGGUGCAAACGUUGCUCGGAAUUAUUGGGCGUAAAGCGCACGUAGGCGGCUUUGCAAGUCGGAUGUGAAAUCCCUCGGCUUAACCGGGGAACUGCGUCUGAUACUGGCGAGCUUGAGUGCAGGAGAGGAACGCGGAAUUCCAGGUGUAGCGGUGAAAUGCGUAGAUAUCUGGAGGAACACCGGUGGCGAAGGCGGCAUCCUGGACCGGCAUUGACGCUGAGGCGCGAAAGCCAGGGGAGCAAACGGG